UACGUAGGGUGCAAGCGUUGUCCGGAAUUAUUGGGCGUAAAGAGCGUGUAGGCGGCCCGAUUAGUCCGCUGUGAAAGUCCAGGGCUCAACCCUGGAAUGCCGGUGGAUACUGUCGGGCUAGAGUCCGGAAGGGGCGAGUGGAAUUCCUGGUGUAGCGGUGAAAUGCGUAGAGAUCAUGAGGAAGACCAGUGGCGAAGGCGGGUCUCUGGACAGUUCCUGACACUGAGGCACGAAGGCCAGGGGAGCAAACGGG
rnacentral:rRNA from 1 species